ACCUCGGUAGCCCAGCGGCGGCCUCUUGUAUAGUUCAACAGGUAGUUGGACGUGGGUUCAAAUCCCGCUCGAGGGA